AUGUAUGGCCAUGGCGAUGAGCAGUCCGCAUUCUUGUCCGUGUUCUUGCCGUGCUGCUACUCCAGCAGUCCGCCUGCACGGUUCGUGCAUGUUGCCGGUUCCCGCGCUCCGCUCCAAGUGGCUUCAGAAUUCAGCAGUGGUAUUAUUGUUUUCUUGGUGGAUUGGGAAGUGUGUGCUGCGUGCCAAGUUUUCUGCAGUCCAAGGAAGUUUGCUCACUCACCCGCCUCUGAUUUUGUGCGUAUCUUUUGUGGUUUCGAGGGAGGAAAAAUAAGGAAUGCGAUGAGGACGUGUGAUGUACUUGCUUGUUUAUAG
rnacentral:rRNA from 1 species